CACCAAUAAAAAAACCCUUUUUUACCUCCCCUCUCUUCCCUUUCUCUGUGCUGGUGGAUCUCCCCCAUGUGCGCCCGUGGAAGCUCCGGCGGCGGCCCGCUCGCCCACCUCCCGCACGCGCGCUCGGCCGAGGGACCUCCACCGGCCGCCCUGCCGCGCUCGCCGUCGGGCCAAGGCUCCCCGCAGCCGGCGUGCCACCAUCGCGGGAGGCCCUCCGCGGCCGCCGUGCGGUGCUCGCCGUAGAGGCAAGGCCCCCCGCAGCCGGCGUGCCGCCGGGGUCCGGAUCUACCCUCUCCCUCGCCGGAUCUAAGACUCCCUUCGCUGGAUCUGCGUCGACGCAGGGUUCUGGCGUCUGGGAGAUGGAGGAAGCAGUUGCACAUCGCCGCCGGCGGCGCGGGAUCAGGCGGGGAGGAAGGACGAACACGCGCCGGCGCACCGCUGCUCAAGUGCGCCCACCGCCGCAGCCCCACAUGCGUGCCAUGGGUCGUGGCUGCCCGCGCCGGCUAUCGUAGCCCCACCUGCAGCGACGACGAUGAGGAGCCCGUGCCCAGCACCACCGUCCUCGCUCGCCGCGCCCCGUUCUCCCCGCCCGACGUCAAGCCGCCCCUGCUCGCCGAAGACAGGUCGCGGUGCGGAAGACCGGUUGCGGCGGCGGCUCGCGUCAGGGGCUCGGUCGUCCGCUUGGGCGCUCGGCCGGGCACCCAGGACGCCGCACGGACCCGUGGUCCCAGUCCGCGGAGGCGGGGGCGCGUGCCGCCGUGCCGGUGCCCCGGCGUGGCCGCGUUGCGGCGGGUGGCCGGGCGCGCCAGAGUCUGUACGGGUGUUGCGUAUGCUCGGCGGCCGUCCAGUGGCCUGCGGCCUGCCGCCCAACUGCUGCCGGCCUGCCGCCUGGGCUGCCUGCCGUGCGCCCGUGCUGGCAGCACGCAGGCGCAGGCUCAGGCGCUCAGCGCCUUGCCAUCUAAAGAAGAACAAAAGAACUGAAGAAGUGAAGAUUGAAGAAACCAAGAAGGGGCUUUGGAGAUUGCCAAGAUGAAGAGUAGAUUUAUCAUUCUUUGUGUUAAGGCCUGUCUAAUGGCUCAGCUAGGAGCUGCCAAUGUCGUGCUAAUGGGGAAUAAUCUGACCUUGUCUUUUGACGACAUCGAGGCAAGCUUUGGUAAGCCCCACACGCCUUAAAAUCAUUUAACUUUGCCAGAUUACCAACUGCUAGCGUUGGAUGGCACAUUUCUUUUCAUGACUUGCCUCUAGGCUGAAUUUCUAUAUGACCAUGUUAAUGUCCAGAGUUUGACUUCCUUUACAAAGCUUGCCAACACAAAAUCCAUGACCAUAUAUAUUUUUUGUGUUCAUGUCUAGAGAAGUAGUUUGUUUCAAAAACUGAUUGAACGAUGCUAGGUAUAUUUUCCCCCUUCUGUCCUUGCUAUUUAUUCUCCUUGCUAAGCUGCUUGACCUUUUUCAAAGCUUGCCAAGAAGUGAGUAGAUCUUGCUGUUUGACCUUUUCUCUAUUUGAUUUUAUGAGGUGCAUCAUUUUGAAUGUGAAACUAGCUGCCAUAAUAAUGUUAGAAGUUGUCUUUGCUAAUGGGUGGGUUCAAGAUAACUAUAUUGUUAGAAAUUGAUCUAAGCUAUUAGGGAUCGGUAAUUCUUUAUUACAACUAUCUUACUGUUAUUUCUUUCCAGCAAACUAAGUUAGGCUAGGUCAGUUUUCAUUUUUCAGAUUGUACUGCAACAACUUGAAUGGUGCCGAGGAUUAAUUUGAGGGGGUUAAUAGUUUCUCUUUAUUACCUGGCUGUUAAGCUUGAGACCAAUAAUGCACGAGAACCGUGUAGACAAUGCAUGAUCCAAUCCUAGGAUUGUCAUAAAAAGCAUACUCCAGAUUAUAUAAAAAAAGAGUGGGUUAUGUUGAGCUUGGCUGUCAGAAGAUGCAUCUGCUGACACCUAUAUUGCUCUUAUCCUUCAGGUUACUAUUGUGCUCAAGAUGUUUUAGGCAAAAAUUGAUGAAGCGGCACUACUAAUUCCUGUGCUUGAAGAUUUUUUUUUUCUUUCCUUUAAUUCUGGGCGAAAGAAAUAUUUUCCGGGAUAUCAUCUUGUAAAAACCAAUUUAGGGUUCAUUGCAAUAUGAAAAGCUUUUUUAUUCCUUUAUCUGAAUCAUUCAAUCAUCAAGCAAUGAGGGAAACUGAGUUGUGAUGGUAGAUUGUGAAAUCCUGUUACUCCAUAUGUAGUCUGAAUAUAUGUUGCUCAUAUUAAAGCAUGUUGCACCAAAUGGCAAAGUAAACUUUGAGAAAAGGCCAAGAGGAAGGCAUAUAUAUGAUAUUUGAAGGAGAGAUAAUGCACCGCAUAGAUCAUUGCUUGUACCCAAUUUUAGUGUAAAACUAAGCUAUUUUGUGUACACUUUACAUGUACAUUUGUAUCUAAAUCAUUUUAUGGUUAAUGACAUAUUUGUACCAUUUGAUGGUGUGCGACUUCUGUGGAUGCUGCAUCAGAGAUGCUUGCUGACAAGUAUUGCAUCCCAUUGCUGAUUCUAUCACUAUCAAUAAAAAGAUCUGAAUCUGGUGCUUUUUGUGACACGUCAUGCUUGUAGGUACAACUUAUGUACAGCUUAUGCAGGUACAGUUUAGAUGUAUCUUUAUGUUUAGUUCUGAGAUGAACCACUUUCUUGGUGGUAUAUAGUGAGAAUGAGCGAGGUAGCAUAUGUUUUAUACCAGUUCAUACAGCAUAGUGCAAUGUAUUUUCUAGACUGUCUUUUGGCAAUUUGUUGACUAAUCUGUUCAUUUAUGCUUUCUACAGGCUAUCGUUCUCAUGCUCGGGCUUUGUUGAAAGUAUUAAUCGUAAUCAGUGAUCAGUGAGGAGCCAACGGUGCUCCGCCGUCAUGGUCGUGUGCUUGCUGUGGCUGUACUGGCUCACGACGUGGGGUUUUGCUGGGGAGGGGGGAGGGAAAGGUGAUGAUAUUCAAUAUCAAUGGCAUGUCUAAUGUUUUGCCUAAUUUGAGUUUUGUGACUAAUGUUUUUUAAAAAAAAUACACUGGGUCGAUGAUUUUAUAUUAUGAGCAAUAUAAGCAUUUUAAAUUGAUUGAUAA